rnacentral:rRNA from 1 species
AAUGAACGUUGGCGGCAUGGAUUAGGCAUGCAAGUCGAGCGAGAAGUUUUAGUUUGACGCUUCGGUUGAUUUCUAAAAUGGACAGCGGCGCAUGGGAGAGUAACGAGUAGUUAUCUACCCUCAGGUUCGGGAUAGCCACGGGAAACUGUGAGUAAUACCGAAUAACAUCGGCAUUGUAAAAGAUGUGGAUCAAAGGUGUGAUUCCGCCUGAGGAGGAGACUGCUUACUACUAGCUUGUUGGUGGGGUAAUGGCCUACCAAGGCUUUGAUGGUUAGCGGGCGUGAGAGCGUGGCCCGUCUCACUGGGACUGAAACACUGCCCAGACACCUACGGGUGGCUGCAGUCGAGAAUCUUCGGCAAUGAGCGAAAGCUUGACCGAGCGAUGCCGCGUGCGGGAUGAAGGCCCUCGGGUUGUAAACCGCUGUCAGUUGGGAGGAAGGACUCGUGAAGAGCGAGUUUUGACCUAUCUUCAGAGGAAGUCCGGGCUAAGUUCGUGCCAGCAGCCGCGGUAACACGAACCGGACAAACGUUAUUCGGAAUUAUUGGGCUUAAAGGGUGUGUAGGCGGUGAUGUAGGUGGGGUGUGAAAUCCCUCGGCUCAACCGAGGAACUGCGCUCCAAACCACACCACUAGAGGGAGACAGAGGUAAGCGGAACUGAUGGUGGAGCGGUGAAAUGCGUUGAUAUCAUCAGGAACACCAGUGGCGAAAGCGGCUUACUGGGUCUCUUCUGACGCUGAGACACGAAAGCUAGGGUAGCGAACGGG